ACGGAAGGCAGCAGUGGGGGAUAUUGGUCAAUGGGGGAAACCCUGAACCAGCAACGCCGCGUGAAGGAAGACGGUCUUCGGAUUGUAAACUUUUGUUGUUGAGGAAGAUAAUGACGGUACUCAACGAGGGAGCCACGGCUAACUACGUGCCAGCAGCCGCGGUAAUACGUAGGUGGCAAGCGUUGUCCGGAUUUACUGGGUGUAAAGGGUGCGUAGGCGGGUUAUAAAGUCAGAUGUGAAAUACCGAGGCUUAACUUCGGGGCUGCAUUUGAAACUUAUGAUCUUGAGUGAAGCAGAGGCAAGCGGAAUUCCUAGUGUAGCGGUGAAAUGCGUAGAUAUUAGGAGGAACACCAGUGGCGAAGGCGGCUUGCUGGGCUUUAACUGACGCUGAGGCACGAAAGCAUGGGGAGCAAACAGGAUUAGAUACCCUGGUA
rnacentral:rRNA from 1 species